UACCAAUAGUGUCCGCCCGGGGACUACGAGCGUGAGCUUAAAACCCAAAGGACUUGGCGGUGCUUUAGACCCCUAGAGGAGCCUGUUCUAGAACCGAUGAUCCCCGCUCAACCUUACCUUUUCUUGCUCCUUCCCGCCUGUAUACCUCCGUCGUCAGCUAACCUUAUGAAGGCAUAAAAGUUAAGCAAAAUCGGCUUUCUCCCAAAACGUCAGGUCAAGGUGCAGCGAAUGAAAAGGCUGUAAUGGGCUACAUUCCCUAGUAAAGGGCACACGAAUGGAAGAUUGAAAUAUCUCCCUGAAGGAGGAUUUAGUAGUAAGCACAAAGUAGAGCGUUGUGCUGAAUAUACCCAAUAAAGCGCGCACACACCGCCCGUCACCCUCCCCAAAACCGAUUAACUCAGUAAUUAAACCCCUAACAUGGGCCAAAGGGGAGGCAAGUCGUAACAUGGUAAGUGUACCGGAAGGUGCACUUGGAAAAUA
rnacentral:rRNA from 1 species